rnacentral:rRNA from 1 species
AUUGAACGCUGGCGGCAUGCCUUACACAUUCAAGUCGAACGGCAGCACGGGAGCAAUCCUGGUGGCGAGUGGCGAACGGGUGAGUAAUAUAUCGGAACGUGCCCAGUCGUGGGGGAUAACGCAGCGAAAGCAGUGCUAAUACCGCAUACGACCUAUGGAUGAAAGCGGCGGACCGUAAGGCCUCGCCCGAGUGGAGCGGCCGAAAGCAGAUUAGCUAGUUGGUGGGGUAAAGGCCAACCAAGGCGACGAUCUGUAGCUGGUCUGAGAGGACGACCAGCCACACUGGAACUGAGACACGGUCCAGACUCCUACGGGAGGCAGCAGUGGGUAAUUUUGGACAAUGGGCGCAAGCCUGAUCCAGCAAUGCCGCGUGCAGGAUGAAGGCCUUCGGGUUGUAAACUGCUUUUGUACGGAGCGAAACGGUUCUCUUUAAUACAGGGGGCUAAUGACGGUACCGUAAGAAUAAGCACCGGCUAACUACGUGCCAGCAGCCGCCGCGG